UCGGACAUCAGGAGGUUAGUGCAAUGGCAUAAGCCAGCUUGACUGCGAGCGUGACGGCGCGAGCAGGUGCGAAAGCAGGUCAUAGUGAUCCGGUGGUUCUGAAUGGAAGGGCCAUCGCUCAACGGAUAAAAGGUACUCCGGGGAUAACAGGCUGAUACCGCCCAAGAGUUCAUAUCGACGGCGGUGUUUGGCACCUCGAUGUCGGCUCAUCACAUCCUGGGGCUGAAGUAGGUCCCAAGGGUAUGGCUGUUCGCCAUUUAAAGUGGUACGCGAGCUGGGUUUAGAACGUCGUGAGACAGUUCGGUCCCUAUCUGCCGUGGGCGCUGGAGAACUGAGGGGGGCUGCUCCUAGUACGAGAGGACCGGAGUGGACGCAUCACUGGUGUUCGGGUUGUCAUGCCAAUGGCACUGCCCGGUAGCUAAAUGCGGAAGAGAUAAGUGCUGAAAGCAUCUAAGCACGAAACUUGCCCCGAGAUGAGUUCUCCCUGACCCUUUAAGGGUCCUGAAGGAACGUUGAAGACGACGACGUUGAUAGGCCGGGUGUGUAAGCGCAGCGAUGCGUUGAGCUAACCGGUACUAAUGAACCGUGAGGCUUAACCUUACAACGCCGAAGGUGUUU
rnacentral:rRNA from 1 species